rnacentral:sRNA from 1 species
GGUACCCCAGGAGGAGCAAGUGGCACGUCUUCGGACCUAGGCUGCCCCUGCCGUCAUGUCUCAAGGGAUCCUUUCUCCGCCAGCGGGCUUGCUGUCCGAUGACGAUGUCGUAGUUUCUCCCAUGUUUGAGUCCACAGCUGCAGAUUUGGGGUCUGUGGUACGCAAGAACCUGCUAUCAGAUUGCUCUGUCAUCUCUACCUCCCUAGAGGACAAGCAGCAGGUUCCAUCUGAGGACAGUAUGGAGAAGGUGAAAGUAUACUUGAGGGUUAGGCCCUUGUUACCUUCAGAGGUGGAACGACAGGAAGAUCAGGGUUGUGUCCGUAUUGAGAAUGUGGAGACCCUUAUUCUACAAGCACCCAAGGACUCUUUUGCCCUGAAGAGCAAUGAGCGGGGAAUUGGCCAAGCCACACACAGGUUCACCUUUUCCCAGGUAUGGAGGGUACUGGUUUGUGAACAAAGGACCAACAUGUAAGGGCAACUUUAUUCCCUCUUUAGAGGGAAAGCUUCUCUUCCUGUGAGUUCCUUGUAUAUGCACACCUACAAUUUUGAGGGCCCUAGUUAUGUGUUAGUCAAUGUGUCAAGUAACAUAUGUAU